AUUGAACGCUGGCGGCAGGCCUAACACAUGCAAGUCGAGCGAGCGGCGGACGGGUGAGUAAUGUAUGGGGACUGCCAGAUAGAGGGGGAUAACUACUGGAAACGGUGGCUAAUACCGCAUACUGUCGGAUAACCCAUAUGGGAUUAGUUAGUAGGUAAGGUAAUGGCUUAACUAGGCGACGCUCCCUAGCUGGUCUGAGAGGAUGAUCAGCAACACUGGGACUGAGACACGUCCCAGACUACUACGGAGGCAGCAGUGGGGAAUAGUGCACAAGAGGCGCAAGCCUGACGGAGCAACGCCGCGGGAGUGAUGACGGCCUUCGGGUUGUAAAGCUCUGUUAAUCGGGAGACGGUACCGGAAUAGAAAGCCACGGCUAACUACGUGCCAGCAGCCGCGGUAAUAC
rnacentral:rRNA from 1 species